AGCACUCUUUCUCCAUAGUUCGACGACGCCGUAGUUCCGAAUCUUCCGAUCCAUAGCUGUCGUUCCUCUCGUCGCCACCGUAGCUCCUCUUCAACACAGGUUUCACUGCUCUCUCUUCCUCUCUCUCUUCCUCUCUCUCUAUCUCCGACUAUUCUCUUGUUAAAUUGUUGUUAACUUGAUUAUGAUGAUUUGAGUGAUAAUAAUUUUUUAAUUUCUUGGAUUCUUUACAGUUUGAUUUUAGGGUUUUUGAGUUUAGUGGUUUAAUUUCUUAGAUUCUUUUACAGUUUAAUUGUUAGGGUUUUAAUAGUUUGUUAAUUCUCUUGGAUUUCAUAUCUUUCUUGGAUUUCAUAUAUGUGUUGUCAGUAGAUUUGGUUCGUUGUACAGAUCAAAAAGAAAGAGGUGUUGGUGUUGAAUUUAUGUACAGGAAGAGCUGCUAAAUCCAUUCUAUUAUCUGGUCUUGCACAGGAAAUUGUUACUGCUUCUGGGCGACACCAGAGCAAAGUUGUCAUGUUGUGUGGGUAGGUAGUUAUAACAUGGUAAAGGGGUAGCUUUUGAGGUGUGGAAUUAUCUAACCUGUUUGUGUAAUUGGAGCUACAUUGUAUUUGACUUAUUUCUUGGCAUGCCUUAUGCCUUAUUUAAUAUAACCUCUUGGCCUACAUCACUCAGAAUUGGAUUUGGUUGCAUACCAAAUUAUUAGUUUAAUUUGUUUAUUUUUGAAAUUAUCUAUUAGCAUUUGGCAUAAACACUUGUGAGACUCACUACAAAAAUAUUGUAGGCAUAUAUAGAUAAAGGAAACUUGUAAAAGAUAUGAAGAUAGCUACUUUCAAGUGAUUGGAUUUAUAUCAGCAGGGACCUAGAUAAACAUAAAGCUAACAAAAGCUGUCUUUUAUGAUGCAGCUGAAGCAGAAGUCCACACCUGACAAUGUUGAAUUUUCCAUUAUGCUUGAGAAGUUGCAAGAUACUUUGAGGAGUUUGGAAUCAUUCCAAAUGAAAAAUGCUGAACAUGUAUUUAACACAGGUACCUUGCCUUUGGCUUGAAUGGCUUAUGUUUGAUAGAUAAUACAAAGCUUCUAAUUGCCUGUGUUUUAUUUUCAGUUUGUUGUGGAAAAGUUCAUUUACCUUGCAACUACUGAUCUCCUUGUUUAUUAUACAUAUAAAACAUAAAAUCUCACAUGCAUGCCUCACCCCUCUUAUUUUCUUUUACUUUUUAAAUGGAUUUUCGAUUUUGUGCUGUUAUUAUUGAAUACAUGUUCUCCAAUAAUGCAGUGAAGAAGAAAUUGAACAUGCUGAAAUAGGACAACUAUGGUAAGGUUUAUUUGAGAGUUACAUUGACUUAUUCACACAUUUAAUUGCCUUUGAAUUGAGAUGACUGUUUGAUGCUAAAAUAAUUAUUACAUUUGUUAUUAAGGAAGUAGAAAUGUCGUAAUUAAUCUUUGGUGGUACUUCAUUUUCAUGUCAGGAAUAUAUGUAGUAAAACGCAAAUUUGGACUGUCAUGUUAUGUCUGCUCGAUCUUUGUUUACGUGGCCAACACAUAUUCUUUUGGUAUGGUUUCAGUGAACCUUGUGCUUGACCACUCGAGUUUUUUUUAUAUGUUUUUCCAUAAUGAAAACUAUCAUAAAUCUUUUGGUUUUUCCUUAGGUUCUCUCCAAGUCAGGACUGCAAUUCCUUGCUCUGCUGCCUACACUAAUGCCUAAUUGAGGGUCAUUGCUGAGUGUGGUAAUUGGUAGGAUGACAAAUUUUGUAAACUCAUGUCGCUGUUUGCUAUAAUUAUUAUCAUUUUGUUGUAGAUUCUUGUAGUUUUUAUUCUUUUUAUUGUCUGUUUUUAGUGAUUGUUGUCCUUAAUUUCUGCUGCAUAAAACAUGUACUAGAGGACUUGAAUUUGCAUGUUUUGAAGCAUUAGUUUUUCAGUGGUUGGCUGGUUUCCGAAGGAAUUGAUGAUUGGCUAUCAAGAAAUAUAGAUAUUAGUUUAUGUAUAAAGCUCAUGUGGAGUAUUCGUUUUAUUNNNNNUAGUAGUUGGAUUUAUUUUCUGUUCAGUUUGGUUUUUAGGUGUUAGUUUGUUCUUGAGAUCGUUUUGUUCUUGAUUCGAUGCUGUUAAUUCCAGGAUUUAUGUAUGUAUAAUUAUAUAAUGACUAUGCACCUCAUCUACAACCUGUGUAGGAGAUGCAUGGAGGAUGAAGUUGGAUGCGUUUGGAGCAAUUAUGCAGGAAAUUCUGAAUUCUUAAACUAAAUUUGUUAAUCGGAUGCAUUCAAUAAUGAAUGAGGUAAGUUUUAACCGUAGAUUCUUUAUGUGACGCUAAUUAUUUCAAUACGAAUGUUACAUUUACCAUCGCCUAGCAAUAGUGGUACUGGAAAAGGGGCGCUUCUAACUGUAUCUUGAAAGGUUUAGCAAGUAAUAUAUCUUAUAUAAUUUUGACAUUAAAUUUGAAAUUUAUUUCCCAUGGCCUGUUUCAUUUUUGUUAUACUACUCAUUUAUAUGUUAUGGUUAUAAGUAUGUGUUUAGCCUAGCUCUCAAUGUUACACAUUUUAUUUUUCUUAUUGUCUCGGUUAUAAGUCAGUUUCAUGUUUGUUCUCUUA
rnacentral:lncRNA from 1 species